CGGCGCGAUCCCGCGGAGGGCUGUCGCUGGCAGACGCGCACAGCGCUCGGUCCCGCCGGCAUCAUGCGGCCCCUGCUGUGCGCGCUGGCCGGGCUCGCCCUGCUCCGCGCCGCGGGCGCUCUGGCCGAGUUACAACAGAGGCAGAGACAGAGGAAGAAGUCUUCCAUCCACUGGCUCACUCUCCAAAUGGCAGCAAUCACCGGUGCUGGGCCAGGCUGAAGCCAAGAGCCAGGAGCUUCUUCCAGGUCUCCCACAAGGAUGCAGGGGCCAUCCUCUGCUGUUUUCUCAGGCGUAUUAGGAGGGAGCGGGAUCAGAAGUGGAGCAGCUGGGACUCGAACCCAGGGUCCACUCUGGCGCACGGCUCAGGUGGGGUGGCCUUGAGGAUGGGUGGCAGUGGCCAAGUCUUCUCAGGAACCACUUUCCACUGGAGGACCAGGAGCUGAGCCCUGAGGUGGCCCCACAGGCGUCCAUGCCCGAUGCUUCGAUGGGGCUCAGUGUGACUUUGGGACAUUGUAGGAAGGGCAUGCAAAGAGGAAGAUGUGCCCCCCACCCCCACCCAGACUCUCCUGUGGGUCUGGAUCACACAGUCUGUGUUGAGGAAACCAUCAGCAUGUCUGUGGCUGCUGUGAAUCUACUGUGGUGGCGAUUGGACAACCAGGCUCACCAAGCUAAGGGGGACCUCGGUGGAGACGGAGCACUUAAAAAUACCUUCGAAAUGUCCUCUAGGAGUUGAUUUUGACCACAUCUCACCUGAGUCAAUGAAUAAUGCAUUUCUAAGGUACACUAUGUCACCUGAAAAUUCUGCAGUACAACCACCGGCCAGCAGAGGUCGCAGAGGAACAUGCAAAGACCUUAAAGGGGAGGCACAGAGCUGACCAGAAACUGCCCCAAUCCCCCAGCAGGUCAACACCGCAGCUGCCCUGACACCUGUCACCCUGCUGUUCCUGAUUCUGGCUCCCUGCUGGAAGUAUUGCACCGUGCUGCACUGCACAGUGGGCCCCUUGGAGCCUCCACACACCAGACAGAGUGAAGGUCUGUAGUAGCCAGACACAAAGUCCCAGUUCCCACCAGAAACAAUGCUUGGGCUUUUCUCUGCACAGUUUCAGAUGCAAGGUGCUAGAGCCAGAGACUGGGUGCCCGCUGCCACAUGCGGUCACUGGGUGGUGCCUGACAACCAAGUGACCAGGACUGGACAUGACACACUUGCAUACUUCCGGUCCCCAGUCCUGCUUUGAAAGAGGUCGCAGGAAAUGACUGGCUGGCUUUCCAGGGUUCUGGGCGUAGGGAGCAACUGUGUAUUGAGAAGGCCCCAAACUACAGGACAAAUAUGGCCACAUGCCCACCCCUCUAGCUUGGAGUGGACACUUCUCAUCAAGUCCUAGAGCAGCUCCCCUGCCCCUCCAUAUAUCAGACAAUAGGGGUCCAUUUCCCUGGGGAGUCAACAAAUGAUUGGUCUCCCACGACAAUUCAAAGGACAGCUUUAUUGUGCCAAAGAGACUGGGAAAGUACAGCUCCCUAAAACUACUGCCUCUGUGAGAAGCCAUUUUUGAGGGAUUGUAGAGUGAGGGCGUGGCUGGGAUAGAGGAAAAAGAGAAGCAAGAGGGCCCUACCUGCUCAAGCAACCCACAGCAGCACGCAUUGUGUGUUCAAAACCCAACUGCUGCUGGGCUCUUGCAGCUCUCCUUGCUGUGAGGUCCAAUCCCUGGGGGUACAGCAUGAAAGAUCACCCUUCUUGGAAUAUUCUUGGGAAAACAAGAAAGAGAAUAAAUUGUUAGAUGCUGUGCCCCUGCCCAUGCCCAUGCCUGUUGUCUAAAUCCUACAGUCUGAGUUACAGAAUUUUUUUAAAGCUGUAUUUAUUUGAAAGGCAGAAUGACAGAGAGACAGACAGGCAGACAGAGUCUUCCAUCCACUGGUUCACUCCCCCAAAAGGCCGCAACAGCUGGAGCUAUACCAGGAGGAGGAGCUUCUUUCGGGUCUCACACAUAGGUGUAGGGGCCCAAGGACUUGGACCAUCUUCCACGACUCUCCCAGGUGCAUUAGCUGGGAGCUAGAUCAGAAGUGGAACAGCCGAGACUUGAACUGGCAACCAUAUGGGGUAGUAGCUUUACCCGCUACACCACAGCACCAGCCUCUGGAGACAUGUCGCUUUUUUUUCAUAUUUAUUUAUUUAUUUGAAAGUCAGAGUUUCACAGAGAGGAAAGUCAGAGAGAGAGAGAGAGGACUUCCAUCUGGUGGUUCACUCCCCAGUUGGCUGCAACGGCUGGAACUGUGCAGAUCUAAAGCUGGGAGCAAGGAGUUUCUUCUGUGUCUCCCAUAUAGGUGCAGGGGCCCAAAGACAAGGGCCAUCUUCUGAUUUCCCAGGCCGUAGCAGAGAGCUGGAUUGGAAGUGGAGCAGCCGGGUUUUAAACCGGUGCCCAUAUGGGAUGCCGGCACUCAGGCCAGAGUGUUAACCCGUUUCACCACAGCGCCGGCCCGGGGAGAGCUGUUUUUUCACAUUUCCCUCCCUCCCUGGAGGCAGCAACAUACACUGCUCAAAACGAGGGACCGCACCCAUGGUGAAAUUUAAAGGAGUCCAUGCAACCUGGGUCUUUCUCCAAACUUUUCUUCCAAGGGACAAAUAGCUGGCAAUUAAACACCAAGAUUAGAAGAUGUGAGUCUAAAACUUGAAAAUGACACAUUUUACAUACACAAAUACUCUACGAAUGAAAGCCCUGAUGGUACUUCAUAUGAUUUAUAGCAGUAAAUUAAAAUCCCUAGAUGAAAUGAACUUAGUAUUAGAAAUCAUAAUCUCAAAAGUUACUCAAGGAGAAAUGAUAGUUUCUAAUCAACGAUAAUGAGAUCAGGAGGCAAAAUCUCCCUCUAAUGAAUCUAUCAGAGCCGUCAUUGUAAAAUCCAAACGUUUAAUGAAGGGCUAAGUGUAGUGUUGUACAAAAUUAUAGAAAAUAGUAAGAAAGGUAGCAUAACUAACUCCUAUAAUCCUAGUUUAACAUGACACAACCCCCUACAAUAACUACCAGUACAAAAUGUCCUUCAAGAAUAUAAAUGCCAACAUGAUAGAAAAUAUGUUCACAACCCUAACCAGCCACGCACACAAAGGAUGUACACUAUGAGCUAGUUCCUUUCUUUCAAGAACCUUCGACUCCCAGGUACACAAUUGUAGUAUGACAGGCAUCUGCUGACUCAAAAGCCCAACGCCAUUUCCUGCAGCCACAUUUCUAGUCCCAGAAGUUGGCACCGGUGUGUUCCUCUUUCAAAAUGUCCUGGAUUUCAGAACUGGGCAUCUCGGGCACCACCUUGCUGUGUAUCUUGCUCGUGAGGUUCUGUUGGAGAACUGAGUACCCGCAGAGCUGUGCUCAACACCUGCAAGAACGUGAGCUCUCCAUCACCUUGACGAUCUCCAGGCUGCUGCUGGGACAGAGGAAAAGGCACCCUGUUCUCUGCGCUGUUGUGAUUCUGCUGCAUUGGAAACUGGUCCUGGGAGGGCAGCUCCUGCCAGUAAUCCAGAGGCUGCUGGGGCUGCUGAGGGUGCGUUCCCCAGCCAUUCUGCUGCCAUUCUUCACAUAGUGGGUAACGAAGAGAGCUCUUCUGCUCCUGCAGCUGUUGCAUUGCUCCCUGAGCACUGGGAACACUGGGUAGCAGGGAAGGCCAGUCAGGCUGCAUGACCCUCAUCUCUGACCUGGACCUCCCAAAAUACGGUGCGGAUGAAAAAGGAUGAAUAAACCUUGCUCCUGGAACGCCACGGGGAAAAGAUCCACCUCCUACAUUCCCUUGAUUCUCCAGAGCAUAGCUCGGUGCCUCUUGAGCACCUCGAACCCCAGAAUCCCAGGAGCCGUAGAGCGGGCUGGGAACCUCCCAAGUGGGUGGAGUGGAGUAGACAGCUCCGCCCAGCACAGAUGCCUGGGCAGCGUUGGGAGACCAAUCCUGGGCAUUCUGCAGGCUUACACCUGGGGGACCUUGGACAGGGAGUGCAUAUGGCAUCCUGGCUUCAAGCACUUUGCGUCUCUUCUUGGCUGGUAGCCUGGCUCUUUUAUUUUGGAACCAGUUCUAAAAAAGAAACGAAACAGAAAUUACUUUCGAGUCUAUAUAUUCGCCAAUGUAGGAGAAUUUUGUAGUUCAUCUUAGGAUCAGCGUCAUCACUGAUUUGCUUCGUGACCUUGAGGAAGACAUGAAAAAUGCAAGCAUGCUUUCCUGGGGCUUCCUGUGUUAUUAUAUUUAUAAUACGAGAAUGCAUUUACAGUAAAUAUGAUAUGUAAAUGUAUAUAUAAAUAUACAUUUAUGAUAAUUAAAAUCAUGUAAUUUUGCACAAUUCUGGAUUCCCAUCUGCCUUCACAGGAGGCACGGGCCCUUAUGUAUGAGCAAAUCCCUAUUUUUCCAAAUCUUCUACCAACCUAUUUGCACCCUCUGUAUUUAGACGUGAAGCAGCUGUUCUCAAAAUACAUUCCCUUAGCUUGCUUAUUUUACUCCAACUGCUUUUCCAGAAUGAAUUCCUAAUUCAACAUAUUCUAAAUCAUAUUCUAAAUGUCAUUUUCUUCAAAGGCCAUACCCAAAACAAACAAGAGUCUGCCAUAACUUAGAAGUAUUACUUCAUACCUUACUCUAAGUGUUUUGUGGAACCUCUACUCUUUACUUUUUAUCCUUUGUAAAAUGAGAGUAAUUGGGGUCAGCGCUGUGGUGUAGUAGGUAAAGCUGCCACCUGCAGAACUGGCAUUCCAUAUGGGCACCAGUUCAAGUCCUGGCUGCUCCAUUCCAAUCCAGCUCUCUGCUAUGGCCUGGGAAAGCAGUGGAAGAUGGCCCAAGUGCUUGGGCCCCUGUACCCACAUGAGAGACCCAGAAGAAGCUCCUGGAUCCUGGCUUUGGAUCAACAUAGCUCCGGCUGUUGAGGCCAGGGGGGGAGUGAACCAGCAGAUGGGAGACCUUGCUCUCUCUCUCUGCCUCUCCUUCUCUCUCUCUGCCUCUCCUUCUCUCUCUCUGUGUAAAUCUGACUUUCAAAUAAAUAAAUCUUUUUCAAAAAUAACACAUACUAUACUUUAAUAUAGUCACAUCCACAAUGACAUGAAGAAGCAAUGGGACCAAAUUUCAACGCUGUUUUAUGUGAUGAAAUGCUGUUAUACUUUUUCAUAAUUAGUUGAUUUUUUAUUAUUGUCCACAAAGACAUAUUCAUGUAAAUAUCUACGUAGUUUAUGUACCUCGAUUGUGUAAAACGAACAAUGGAGUUUUUUGACCAGUUCCUCCUUGGUCGUAUAGUCGGGAUAAGGACUCUCUGCAAAUGAUUGAUUCAGUAUGUGCAGUUCCUCAGGUGUAAAUUUAUGGCGUGCUUUUCCUUUUCUUCUUCCAUGUUGUGUUUCUAUGUUGUCAUGACUGUCUCCUGAAAAAUACAGAGAGAAAACACAAGAGUAUUAGGAAGAUCCAGAAAAACAAAAGACCUCUGUGAGAGAAUAAAAUUUUAGAAAGGUGAUACCUUCCCUCUUACCUAGUCAUAAUAAAAUGAAUAAUGGACUGUGGGCAUAUCUUUUGAAACUUAUGGUGAGAAGAUGAUAGUAUUUAGGUCAUAAAGGUAACAGGAGUGAAGAAGGUUUUCUUUAGUGAAAAUUGAUAUACUACAAAGACAGAGAUGGUGGGAAAACACUCAGCCCCACUAGUAAUUGAGGCAAUGUAAAUAAACCAGCUGACAACAAUCUGGUAAACAAUAAUUUAAAUAUAUGGGGGCAAAGUGCGAAAGGACUAACACGGAUUGACAAGGAUAGGUCUGGUACCCCUAUUGCUUGUUAUCACUGCGUGGGCUUUUUUGCUCAAUGCAAUGAAGUCGAAAGUGGCCAUACUCUCCACUGUGUCAAUCAACUAAAUGGCACUUAAAGAUUUAACACCAAGUCUACAGGUCAUUUUUCCUUCACCCGUGUCAGACAUGCCAGCAGGAGGAAAGCACCGAGGAUCUAAACCUGUCCUCUGGUGUGUGCUCAUCUCCCGGAUGCUGGAAGGGGAGCAGACCUUACAGACAAACCAACGUUGGCACAGUUCUCUACUGCAGAGGCCACCAGAAGAACUGACACGAGGCAAUCCUGUUUUUCUUAAAUCAGAAUUUAAGUGAAAAAACUUACAAGGACUGCAAACCGAAUUAACAACCUUCAUAUGUCUGCUUCAAAGGGUAUAACCUAGCUGCCGGGGGUUGGGCUGCAGUAUGUUAAGUUCCCCCUGAGGACAUCAGCAUCCCAUAUGAGCAAUGAUUUGAGUCCAUCUGCUCUACCAGUCCAGCCCCCCGCUGAAGCCCCUGGGAAAGCAGUGGAAAACUGGCCAAGUGCUUGGGCCCCCACCACCCAUGUGGGAGACCCAGAUGGAGUUCCAUGCUCCUGGCUUCUGCCUGGCCCAGCCCUGGCCAUUGCAGCCAUUUGGGGAGUGAACCAGAGGAUGGCAGAUCUCUGUGUGUCUCUCUCUCUGUCACUCUGUCUUUUAAAUAAAUCUUUUUAAAAAGGUCAAUCUGAACAUACUAUAGACUACCUAAGGCAAAACCGGAGACACUUCAUCACAGAAACUGUGACAUUCAAAAUAUAGUGUGGACAUCGCAAAUGAUCACGUGUGGAGAGAGACAGAGAGGGAGAGAGGGAAAGAGGGGGCAGGGGAGAGAAGAAGGAGAGAUAAGGAGAUGGGGAGAGAGGGAGAGAGAAAGAGGGAGAGGGGAGAGGGAGAGAGGGAGAGAGAAUGGGGGAGAGUGAGAACAGAGCUGAGGAAAGGGUCAGGAAGUCAGCCACCAAACCUCCAAAUACACAAACCCCGAAAGCCCGUUGCUGUUCUCCUCGACUCCCCUUCCUUCAGCUUUCUCUAGCCUCUGCUCCCAGAGCACACCUGCACACCAAGUAGCUACUAGAGCAGGACUGUGGGGGACAGCGCGACAGAGAGGUGCCAGUAAGAAGUGCUGGAUUGGGCUGGCACUGUGGAGUAGCAGGUAAAGCUGCUGCCUGCAGUGCUGGCAUCCCAUAUGGACACUGGUUCUGAUCCAGCUCUCUGCCACAGCCUGGGAAAGCAGAUGAUGGCCCAAGUCCUUGGGCCCCUGCACCCACAUGGGAGAUCUGGAAGGAGCUCCUGGCUUCAGGUUGGCACAGCUCUGGUCAUUGCAGACAACUGGGGAGUGAACCAGCAGAUGGAAGGACCCUCUCCCUAUUCUCUUUCUCUCCCUCUCUGUUUGUCUGCCUCUCUGUAAUUCUGCCUUUCAAAUAAAUAAAAUAAACCUUCAAAUAAAAUUUUAAGAAGUAUCUUAAGCAUUUGGCAGUGAAAUGGAGCUAUGUGGGUUUUUUUAAAAAACAUUUAUUUAUUUGAAAGUCAGAGUUACACAGAGAGAGGAGAAGCAGAGAGAGAGAGAGGUCUUCCAUCUGAUGGUCACUCCCCAAUUGGCUGCAAUGCCUGAGCUGUGCUGAUCCCAAGCCAGGAGCCUGGAGCUUCUUCCAGGUCUCCCACGUGGGUGCAGGGGCCCAAGGACUUGGGCCAUCUUCCACUGCUUUCCCAGUCCAUAGCAGAGAGCUGGAUUGGACGUGGAGCAGCCAGUUCUCAAAAUGGCACCCAUAUGGGAUACCGAUGCUUCAGGAUAGAGCAUUAACCCUCUGUGCCACAGCGCCAGCCCCCACAAAAAUUUUUUAAAAGUAUUAUAGGGCCGGGGCCCAAGGCUCACUUGGCUAAUCCUCCACCUGCAGAGCCGGCACCCCAGGUUCUAGUCCCGGUUGGGGCACCGGAUUCUGUCCCCAUUGCCCAUCUUCCAGUCCAGCUCUCUGCUGUGGCCCAGGAAGGCAGUGAGGAUGUCCCAAGUGCUUGGGCCCUGCACCCACAUGGGAGACCAGGAGGAAGCACCUGGCUCCUGGCUUCGGAUUGGCACAGCGCGAUGGCCGCAGCGCCCAUUUUGGGGGUGAACCAAAGGAAAAGGAAGAACUUUCUCUCUGUUUCUCUCUCACUAACUCAGCCUGUACAGGAAAAAAAAAAAUUAUACAUUCAGGGCUGGUGUUGUUUCAUGGCAAGUUAAGCCUCUGCCUCCAGUGCCAGCAUGCCAUAUGGGUGCCAGCUCAAGUCCCAGUUGCUCCACUUCCCAUCCAGCUCCCCGCUUAGCCCUGGGAAAGCAGAAGAGGAUGACCCAAGUGCUUGGGCCCC